CGCAUGCGCGGGGUCUGGUUUUAGUCGCAUGCGCAGAGCGAUUGUGAUUGGGGGGAGGUGGGCAAUCCGCAUGCGCAAAGGGCUGGUGGGCUCCGCACGCGCCUCUUUAGCAGCGCCGAAAGCCGCGUUCGCUGACAGCUGCUGAGAGAGGGACAACACGCAGCAGUGAUUCAGCAGCGUAAUGCAACGCGGGGAAAACGUCUCAACGCUGUAUGGUUGUGGGGUACUCUUAAAUGUUACACAGUAACAUGAAACACAGGAUCCAUCAGGUAAAUACGUUUCUACUAGCACGCAGCAGAAGGCCUCCUAUAAAAGAGAAGCAAGAGUACAAGUGCGUAAUCACUGUAGUCCUCUGUUAAAAGCCUGUAUCAGUUUGAUAUAUUUACAGCAGGUAUAUAUAUUUCUAGAUAUACUUCUAGAAUAACUGUGAAAACCAGACCUCGCUUGUUCUUUACCACACAAAGUUUCUGGAUCAAGGCUUUAUGUUUAAGAAAAAGGCCCACCUUACAUCAGAACAGCAUCUGCAGCCCUCAGCAAGAAUGAGCAUUUCUGUCUUUAGAAGUUUAUGAUCUCUGAACAUUUAAGAACAGGAAAGGAAGAGAAAGAAAAGUUAAUUUCUCUCUUAAGGUAAAGUGUUUAUUUCAUCUGAAGAUUCACACCUACUUCAAACCCCAACAAACAUCUACACAGUCCCUCUCUUUGCACUGAAGCCUGUAGAGAGCUACACAAUGUUACAACUGAACAAAGGAACAAUAGAAAGAAUGGGUAGGAAACAAAUUUAAAAUGUUAGGAAUAUUAGACAAAAAGAGUAAAGUCACAUAUUUAAGGGGUAGUUAUAGCUUAAAACAGCAGGAAGUAUUUCAUUCAGGCUACCAGGACAAGCACACCAAAAGGCAGACUACAAACACUCUUCAGGGAGUGCUGUUUCUCACUGGGUUCUCAUUCACUUUCUCUAAAGUACAGAAAGGUUUUAAACUUUACUACAAAUAUCCUCCUUUUAAAUACCAGUAAUGCACAUUUUUUUGCAGUAACAUCCAGAGAAAGAAUAUGCAUGUUCUCGAUAUGCAUGUUCACAAAAAGCUAUGAAAAUGUCUUUCUAAGUCACAAAUGUAGACAGUUAUUCACUCCGAUCCUUUGGCUCCCGGUAUUUCCACUGUAUGUAGUCAAAGAUGUCUUUCUCACAUUCUACUGGUAGGGCCUCCCCAGCAACUCCUGCAAGCACAUUACAGAUACUAUUGAAAAGGUGGAAAUUCCAUAUAAUUCUGCACUGUCAAAAGCAUUGCAAGAUCAAGAUGAUUGAGACAAUCAAUUUCACUGUACGCAAAACACAUUUGCAAGUGAAACGAUGAGCACCCCCCUCUCCCUCCCAAAAAAAAACACACAGGAAAAAAGCCCAACCUCCACAGAAAGCCACCACCUCCCACAGAGUUUUUCCACACAAUAUUUAGGUAUUCAUUCUCGGUGUCAGAAUAAAUAACUAACUGUAGAGCUAUAAUGUUCAUACAGUUAAAAUAUAUACACACAAUGCGCAGUCAGGCCCCCCCUCAAAUGGGAAACAAUUAAAAGACAAAUCAUGUUAAAAGAAUGAGAAAAUGUGCUGAGCAUUGCAGAGCAAAUCCAAACUGUAGUUCAGUUAAGACCAAGCAGAUUAGGUGUCCUGAUGUGCUUAUUUUGUUCCACAAUGCUGUCUAUACAUCAGUAGCUUGCCUCCCUCUGCUAAAAUGGUUUACAAUUCCAGGAAGGACAGAGUGAAAAAUUUUGUUAAAUUGCAGUAUUUGCCAAGAUUUCCAAUUGAGAUGAUGAUUAAAGGAGAGGUUCACACAAAACAUGCAACUAGAAAGAAUACUGUUUAAAAGUCCAGACUGACCAGUGACACCCAAGGGACGGAUCGUGUACUCAUUGAUUGUGAAGCCCAUUUCCAGAGCAUGGGUUCUCAUGUUCUUAUUGAAUAUAUCACUGCCUGUGAAAUACAGUACACCACAGUAAUACUGAUCUUUAGGGAUAAGCCUGGAAUAAAAAUGGAAGAGAAGUACAUAUUUAGGACAAAUAUGAAGCCACAAGCCAUUUGGAAUUCAGCCACUUAAAAAGGGAGCAGAUCUAGAAUUGUGUUCAAGUGCAUACAUUCUGCAGUUCUGUGUAUUUGAUUCUUCCAGAUGCCCGACUCAGGAAUGAAGUACAUAUCAGAGUAAGGUACAACACAUCUAACCUGACUCAUAACUUGUUACAAUGCUUUCAUUACUGCCAAGAAUUCAUGGCAAAACAGUAUCAUCAAGUAGGUCACAAUUCUGAAACUGGAU
rnacentral:lncRNA from 1 species